rnacentral:rRNA from 1 species
UCGAGCGGUAGCACAGAGAGCUUGCUCUCGGGUGACGAGCGGCGGACGGGUGAGUAAUGUCUGGGAAACUGCCUGAUGGAGGGGGAUAACUACUGGAAACGGUAGCUAAUACCGCAUAACGUCGCAAGACCAAAGAGGGGGACCUUCGGGCCUCUUGCCAUCAGAUGUGCCCAGAUGGGAUUAGCUAGUAGGUGGGGUAACGGCUCACCUAGGCGACGAUCCCUAGCUGGUCUGAGAGGAUGACCAGCCACACUGGCUGAGACACGGUCCAGACUCCUACGGGAGGCAGCAGUGGGGAAUAUUGCACAAUGGGCGCAAGCCUGAUGCAGCCAUGCCGCGUGUAUGAAGAAGGCCUUCGGGUUGUAAAGUACUUUCAGCGAGGAGGAAGGCAUUGUGGUUAAUAACCGCAGUGAUUGACGUUACUCGCAGAAGAAGCACCGGCUAACUCCGUGCCAGCAGCCGCGGUAAUACGGAGGGUGCAAGCGUUAAUCGGAAUUACUGGGCGUAAAGCGCACGCAGGCGGUCUGUCAAGUCGGAUGUGAAAUCCCCGGGCUCAACCUGGGAACUGCAUUCUAAACUGGCAGGCUAGAGUCUUGUAGAGGGGGGUAGAAUUCCAGGUGUAGCGGUGAAAUGCGUAGAGAUCUGGAGGAAUACCGGUGGCGAAGGCGGGCCCCCUGGACAAAGACUGACGCUCAGGUGCGAAAGCGUGGGGAGCAAACAGGGAUUAGAUACCCUGGUAGUCCACGCCGUAAACGAUGUCGACUUGGAGGUAAUGUUCCCUUGAAGUGGCUUCCGGAGCUAACGCGUAGUCGACCGCCUGGGGAGUACGGCCGCAAGGUUAAAACUCAAAUGAAUUGACGGGGGCCCGCACAAGCGGUGGAGCAUGUGGUUUAAUUCGAUGCAACGCGAAGAACCUUACCUACUCUUGACAUCCASAGCAAYUUAGCAGAGAUGCUUUAGUGCCUUCGGGAACUCUGAGACAGGUGCUGCAUGGCUGUCGUCAGCUCGUGUUGUGAAAUGUUGGGUUAAGUCCCGCAACGAGCGCAACCCUUAUCCUUUGUUGCCAGCGGUCCGGCCGGGAACUCAAAGGAGACUGCCAGUGAUAAACUGGAGGAAGGUGGGGAUGACGUCAAGUCAUCAUGGCCCUUACGAGUAGGGCUACACACGUGCUACAAUGGCGUAUACAAAGAGAAGCGACCUCGCGAGAGCAAGCGGACCUCAUAAAGUACGUCGUAGUCCGGAUUGGAGUCUGCAACUCGACUCCAUGAAGUCGGAAUCGCUAGUAAUCGUAGAUCAGAAUGCUACGGUGAAUACGUUCCCGGGCCUUGUACACACCGCCCGUCACACCAUGGGAGUGGGUUGCAAAAGAAGUAGGUAGCUUAACCUUCGGGAGGGCGCUACC